rnacentral:tRNA from 1 species
GCGGACGUAGCUCAGGUGGUAGAGCGCAACCUUGCCAAGGUUGAGGUCGCGAGUUCGAGCCUCGUCGUCCGCU